rnacentral:lncRNA from 1 species
CUGUUUUUCUUUUAAAAUCCCAGGUUGCCUACUCAAAAGACUAAAGGCCAGAAAGCUUAUGAAAUGUUAAAUUUUAAAAUAAUUGUUAUUAUAGUGUUUCCAUUUGUGAACAACAUAUAUGUGUGUAUGAAUAAAAUUUAUAAAUGGACAUAACCUUAUACACAAGAUUUAAAAUAACCCCUGGGCACAUGUGGGCCCAACCCAGAGAUAGCCCUUCCUGAAAUGACUGGAGCCAAGAGCCUGUCACGCUCGCGGUAUUCAGUGCAAGGUCUGAUCGCGUCUUCUGUCACUCAAGGCCUGAGGGCGCGGAGCCUGGAGCUCUAUCCAUUAAGGGCGCUGGGGUGGGAACUGUCCAAUCAGGUUCACAGUCAGAGAGGAAGGGGUGGCUCCCGGUACCUGGCGGGGCCUUUGUCUCUUGCUCCAGCCAGAGCUCGAGGUUAGCUCUUCACUGCCCUGUGUCUUCUUUCCAAGGGUCUCGGUGAUUCGGCCACAGCCUCAGCCUCCAUCACGCGGUGAACUGAUGGUGCUGGAAGAUUCAUAGACUCCAGGACAUUCCUGAAGCCGAGAAAAGGUUAAGUAGGGUCUGGCCUGGAAUACUCUCCUAGAUGAAGAUAGCCCAACCAUGAGCCACCUUCGAAGCAGAUGAGAUGAAAUUAAAGCUCUUCAACUCCUAAAGGCCCAGAGACUAUCACAAAAGAGGUCAGAAAUCCUGAAGGUCACUUUCUGACAAACUCAGGAACCCCAGGUUUAUCUUGGAGCCUCAAGAGGAGAUAAAUUCACCCAACUCAGUAAAAUACGGAUGCCAAGCCGAGGCUGGACUGUGCUGC